rnacentral:snRNA from 1 species
GUACUUACCUGGCAGGGGACACACCAUGAUCAGCAAGGUGGUUCACCCAGGAUGAGGCUCAACCAUUGCACUGGGGUUGUCUGACCUCUGCAAAUUCCCCAAAUGUGGGAAUCUCGACUGCAUCU